CUGCAGAUGAGUGGAAAGUUCUCUAGUGCGGGAGGGAAAGGAGUUUAAAACGAAAACAAAACGUUAUCAACUUCCUCACGUCUUCACACAGAUCCAUAGACUCCCCGAUUAUGUGUAAUUUUAGAUCAGAGCAGGGUUUGUUUGUUUUUUGCGGGCUAACCGUGUUGUUUUUACAGCUGUGCUAGCUAACCGAGUGACGGUUGCUAAGGUGAGAAACUGCCAGCGCUGCCAAGGCGACAGUUGCUGGACUGACGCGACUGUUGUUUUUGUUUUCCUAUUUUUUUAUUUGUUUGUUUGCCGUUUGUUUGUUUUUUCCUUUGCGGCAUAGACAACUACGUCUUAUCUCUAAGAGAGGGCGGAUAGGCUUCCUGCGAGGGACCAGUCCUGAUAGACGUUUUUGAUUUAUUAUUUUUGUGUGUUUUCCUCCGUCCCGUCGAGCUUGCUCUCUCUUGUCUGCUCAUGACUUAUUCAUAAGCGUCACUCUCGGAGGCGUGACUAUGCAAAAUCACGGCGGCCAGGAGGCGGAGCUACGCACAGGAAAGGUCAUUCAGAUCAAUGCCUGAUCCUUCAGUACCAGCUGGCACUAAACCUACUGGAAGAUGAUAGAGAUGUCUGUUGAUAAAGAGACUGUAUUACCCAGUGAGCGGCCAGGGGGCGCCUCCUUACCCCCGCCACCCCAACAGCACUCGCAGCUUCACCAUGAACGCACUGUAGACCCUCAGCAACCCUCGCAGAUGACCGUCCAACACGGCACCAUGGAGGAUGAGGCCCGUAACCUUGUUGAGCGAGGAGCUGAGGAAUGUGGAGACAGCAAAUCGGCCUUCGACCCCAGCAGGGCUGCCCUCGAUUUCACCACCCAGAACCAGAAUGGUGUCCAGCUGCCUAAACCCCAGCAGAGGCUAAACAAGCGCCGCAGCACAAUGAACAGCGGCUUCAAACACCCCAUCUUCGGCAAACGCCGACGCCGUGCCACCUCGGAGAGCGAGUCGGUCCUGCCUACCAAUUUCCUCCUGGGAGGGAACAUCUUCGACCCGCUAAACCUCAACAGCUUGUUAGAUGAGGAGGUGAACCGAGCGCUGAAUGCUGAGACGCCGAAAUCUUCGCCUCUGCCGGCCAAAAGCAGAGAUCCUGUCGAAAUCCUGAUCCCUAGAGACAUAACUGACCCGCUAAACCUGAACUGCUGCACAGCUGGAGACGCAGGACUUCUUUUAACUCCAUUAAAGAGCGGAGGAGGUGGUAGGAGGCGACACCGAAACAGACAUCAUGGUGGAGCGACAGGACUAGGAGGAACUGGGAGAGGAAGUGAAGGAACGGUGACCCAGUUUGACGUUUCUGAUUCGGAGAAAGGAAAAGUGUGUUCAGCAUCGCAGACAGAGUUGGCGCUGGCGUCCUCAGGACCUCCUUUGGCCUCUGAGGCUGCGACUGAGGAAGUUUUGGAAUCCAAUGUCGUUCCAGCCCAGGAAGCUCAGUGUCCUAGCGGGCCAAACUCCACAGCUGGCCGAGAAGAAAAGGAUGAAAGGCCAGGUGUAUUGGAAAACUCCACACCUUCCACCCAUCGGCAGCGCAAGCGCAAACGCACCACCAGCAAGUCUGAGAACUUUGGUGCCCCCUACUGGGACAAGAGCAAAGCUCCAGCUUAUGGGUCAGGAUCAGGAAGGCAACCUCAGCCCAAUCGUGCCCAAGGAAUGGGCCCUCAGGCCCAACAGCAGCACCCGAACCACAGAAGGCAGCAGAGGAACCAACAGAAACCCAACCAGCAUCACCAACAGCAGAACAAGAACCAGCCGCAACAGCGACAGCAGCAGAAAAAGAAGUUUCAAUAUGGCAACUAUGACAAAUACUACGGUUACAGGAACCCGGGUUCUACAGAAGAUCCACGGCUGCACACCCUCAAGCCUGAGUGGUUUAAAGGGAAAGAAGUGCUAGACUUGGGCUGCAACACAGGCCGCAUCACCCUCACGAUAGCCAAAAACUGGCAGCCUUCACGAAUCGUGGGUUUGGACAUAGACGGCUCUCUGAUCCACGCAGCGAAGCAGAAUAUCCGCUAUUACCUCUCCGAGAUGCAGGUGCUCAAGGCACGUUCUGGAGGUGGAAUGAUGGAGAAGUUGGAGGAAGGAAAGGAGAGGGAAAGAGAUGGAGCGAACGAAGAGGAGGAGAUGGAUGCGUCGGUGGAGAAAAAGGAGAGUGAGGUGCUUCAGGAGAAAACGGACAGACCAGGAGCCUCUGAGGGAAAGGAUGGCGUAAAUGAACAGGAGAAGGUGGAAGAGGAGCCAGCGGAUGUGAAGGGAACGGCUCAGGAGGCUGGAGGUAAACGGAGAGAAGAAAAAGGUGACGUCACCGUGGACCGAGCAGACGAGGCGGUCAAAGAAAUGGCAGGAGAAAGGGAUGAAGUGAAGACGGACGAAAGAAAAGCACCUUCCUCCUCCUCUAAUGGAAAUCACCUGUUCCCAGUCUCUCUCCGCAUCUCCAGAGGACCCAUAGCUGCUCCUCCGCUCCCUGAAAUGCCCACCCCGCCGCUGGGGGACUUCCCUGCCAACGUCACCUUCGUCAGGGGUAACUAUGUGUUGAACAGUGAUGUGCUCCUGCUGACUCAGCGUGAGGAGUUUGAUGUGAUUCUGUGUUUGAGCGUAACUAAGUGGGUUCACCUGAAUUGGGGCGACGUGGGACUGAAGCGGCUCUUUCAGCGCAUCUACCGCCACCUGCGACCCGGCGGCCUCUUCAUCCUCGAGCCGCAGCCGUGGCACUCCUACAGCAAGAGGAAAAAGCUCACGGAGACCAUCUUCAAGAACUACUACAGUAUCUGCUUCAAGCCAGAGCAGUUUUCCUCGUAUCUGACCGGUGAGGUGGGCUUCUCCAGCUACGAGCUCAUUGGGACCCCCAACAGUUUAUCCAGAGGUUUUCAGCGGCCGAUCUAUGUGUUUCACAAAGGCCUAGCUCCUCGACAGUGACCUCUCCAAACUAGGCUGACCGUUCUAGGAGUCGUUUAAGCGAUGAGGGGUGAGCCAGGACGCCUUCGCUGACAGACUGGAACGUCCUUUUUACACGGGAUUUGGGCAGCAGGACGCUAAUGUUACUGAUACUGAGCGCUGAUUGAUUGGCGAGCGGAGCAGCUCAUUGGUUGUUCGCGCUCCCUGAUGUCAUGAAUAUGCAUGAAGCACCGUUUUAAACUCCUAUAACUAGAGUUUAAAAGCUCUUUAAAAUAUAACAGCUGACAGUUAAACUGUUUUAUGCUGCUCUGUGUUCAGGAAAUUAAUUAAUUCUUUUACAUUAAAAUGUUUCAGCAUUUAUACGUUAUUUUGCUCAAUUGCUCCAUAUCAACCCAUUCAUUUUGGACUCGCUCUGGAGCGCCCUCUAGUGUUCGAGAAGCCCAGAACACAUGGCAGAGCAGGAACUCUGCUCUAAAGCUUCUCUGGUAGAACCACAGAGGAGCCAGGAGUGUUUCGAGGCAUCAGGAGAUGAAAAUGGACGGAGAAAAAGGCGAUGAAAGAAGAAACGGAGCCCAGAUCAGCGUUUUUACUCUGAACGAUCUCCAGCCCAGCAUCCCGUCAGCCACGCGGGUUCCCUGAGAAAUCCACAACCUUCGUGCCCCGAUUGUCUACAUGGGUCCGAUUGCUCUGCCCGGUUGGUUGAAAAGCAUUGCUCUUGCGUCUCGCAGCAGUGUGGCUUUUCAUCGUACCUGCAUCAUUCCACUGACCUCUGGUUGCUUAGCAACAACAGUGGUCACUUUCCUCCAAGCUACUGGAACAGCACUCUUAAAGGUGGUUCUUCAAGGGUUCUUUAGUAAAGGCGCGGGGGCUUUGUUCUCCAAUAUCCUCCCAAGUCUGUUCUUCAAUAUGUUCUUGAGUUCUAAAAGGUUCUAUAUAGCACCAUGAACACUCAAUGAAGCCUUUGCUUGAUCAGUGGGUUCUUUGCAUAAUGUUAGUUUCUUCAGAUUGAUGGAGAAUGUGCUGUAGAUGGUUCUAAAUGGAACCUUUUUUUGAAGAUGGUUCUAUAUUGCACCUCAUAGGGUUCUUCUAAUAUUACAAUGUUAAGCUUGUAAAAAUAGCAGAACCCUUUUUGGUGCUAUCUGGAACCCUUCUCAAAUAGGUUCUGUGUAGAACUAUAGACAGAACACACUCCAUCAAAUGAAGAACUAUUUCUUGAUGCAAGAAACCCUUUGAUCAGGGUUCUAAUGCGAUCAUUGUCACCGUUACUCAGCAACCAGUAAAAGACCGGUGGUCCCUGUUACUCGGCAACCAGUACAGCGACCGUUGGUCCCUGUUACUCGGCAACCAGUAAAGCGACCGUGGUCACUGUUACUCGGCAACCAGUAAAGCAACUUUCGUUACCUAGCAACCACUAAAGGGACCACUUCUGUGUCUUAGCAACCAGAGAUCAGUGGAAUGAUACAGCUAUGAUGGAAAAAAGUUGGCAUCAUCAGAUAUAACAACACAGGCAACCAAUCAGAGCGUGUGGGUGGAGCCACCUUGUAGAAUGGGCUAUACAGGCAGGGUGAGCCAUGAGGGUCAGCCUGUGUCCAGCUUCUCAGCAGCUUCUCAUCAGCUCCGUCUUCACGUUGUUCUGUAAAAGGGUCCCGACUGAAGACGAGAAGAUUAACUGACUAAAGAUUAAUACGCCUCUGAAGACGAACCCCAGACCUGAGGAGUUUAAACCCUGACUAAAGCAGCCGAAUGUUGAAAUGAAAGAUGUGUGAAACUAUAAUAAAUGACACUGUAAUUGGAUAAUAAAACUGUUUUUGCUUA